rnacentral:rRNA from 1 species
UGAGGAAUAUUGGGCAAUGGGCGGAAGCCUGACCCAGCAACGCCGCGUGGAGGAAGAAGGCCUUUGGGUUGUAAACUCCUUUUAUGGGGGAAGAGGAAGGACGGUACCCCAGGAAUAAGUCACGGCUAACUACGUGCCAGCAGCCGCGGUAAUACGUAGGUGACAAGCGUUAUCCGGAAUUACUGGGCGUAAAGCGCACGCAGGCGGCAUUACAAGUCUGACGUGAAAUCUCCUGGCUUAACUGGGAGAGGUCGUUGGAAACUGUAAGGCUUGAGGCGAUGAGAGGGGUGUAGAAUUCCCGGUGUAGUGGUGGAAUGCGUAGAUAUCGGGAGGAAUACCAGUGGCGAAAGCGGCACCCUGGCAUUAGCCUGACGCUCAUGUGCGAAAGCGUGGGGAGCGAACGGG